UAUCUCCCCUUGCUGCCAGAGGAACUGGUUGAAUCUUCAGUUUUACAUGAAUUGUUAAAGGAUAUAUUUGAUUAAAUAGCCAACCGUGAUGAUGACUUCCUAUUUAAUUUCUGCUAUUUUUGAUUGAAUAACCAACCAUUUUAGUUUUCGGUUAUCAACGCCUUGUAAUAUGAUAUCUUCCUAUUUUAUUUCUACUAUUUUGCAAUGCAAGUUACUGUGAACAAAUCAGUUCCGUUUAUCUGUUCAAAGCAUGUCAAAUUUUCUCUAUUAACUGAAUUUUUCUAUAAAUAGGCUCAUACAAGUGGAUGUGACAAGCCUUUUGGAAAUCUUCUCUAUGCAGUUGCCACUUUGUUCAUCAUCCUUCUCUCAUCAACUAUAUUGUGUCAGUGAAGACCUGAAGAGGAAUUUUUUGCACUGCAAUUCAAAUGGAGAUUGAUCAGG